UACGAAGGGGGCUAGCGUUGCUCGGAAUUACUGGGCGUAAAGCGUGCGCAGGCGGUUUUGUAAGCCAGAUGUGAAAGCCCCGGGCUUAACCUGGGAAUGGCAUUUGGGACUGCAAGGCUUGAGUGCGGCAGAGGAGACUGGAAUUCCCGGUGUAGCAGUGAAAUGCGUAGAUAUCGGGAGGAAUACCGAUGGCGAAGGCAGGUCUCUGGGCUGACACUGACGCUCAUGCACGAAAGCGUGGGGAGCAAACAGG
rnacentral:rRNA from 1 species